UGUUUCAGCAGCACAUACUGUCUACAGACAUUGGAAUGAUACAGAGAAGAUUAGCAUGCCCCCUGCACAAGGAUGACAUGAAAGUUCGUGAAGCGUCCAAUACUUUU